rnacentral:rRNA from 1 species
AUUGAACGCUGGCGGCAGGCCUAACACAUGCAAGUCGAACGAGUGGCGGACGGGUGAGUAAUGUCUGGGAAUCUGCCUUAUGGAGGGGGAUAACUACUGGAAACGGUCGCUAAUACCGCAUACCAUCGGAUGAGCCCAGGUGGGAUUAGCUAGUUGGUGGGGUAAAGGCUCACCAAGGCGACGAUCCCUAGCUGGUCUGAGAGGAUGACCAGCCACACUGGAACUGAGACACGGUCCAGACUCCUACGGGAGGCAGCAGUGGGGAAUAUUGCACAAUGGGCGCAAGCCUGAGGCAGCCAUGCCGCGUGUAUGAAGAAGGCCUUCGGGUUGUAAAGUACUUUCGGUGGGGAGGCGUUACCCGCAGAAGAAGCACCGGCUAACUCCGUGCCAGCAGCCGCGGUAAUUC